rnacentral:lncRNA from 1 species
CAGACUCGUGAGUGUCCAUCCUGUGCCAGACUCCAUCGCAGGUGCUGGGGAUACCAGGCAGAGGAUGCAGUGUUGCCAGCUAUCAGGAAGACCUGACGGUCAACAAUCGUGCUUCCAAAGCCACCUGCAUAUUAUACUCCCUUGGGGGUCAGCUGUAAUAUACCUGUGCCUAGGCCCCAUCCUAGGCCAAUGGAAUCAGAAUCUCUGGGCCUAGGGCUGGCACACCCAUCUUUUUUAAGCCUCAAGUGCUGUUCAUGGGCAGUCAGGGCUGAGACCCCCUGCUGGAGUAGAAGGAUGGUGCAUAGGUAGCAAAACCACAAAGCAAUGGGCAAAGGCCAAGUCGCAGAUGGCAGUUGCGUAAGCUGGAAGUGGUGACAUUUCUCUUCAGUGCAUAACCACAGCUCAGAAUGAAUAUUUGUAUGGAUCAGGAGGCCAAGUGACCUGGUAUUGAGCAGUAGAUAAACGUUGCAUCUAUUUAUCACCACCCCCAAAAAACCUUUUUAAAAUGGCAAAUACCAUUCAUUAAAUGUUUAUUUUUCCUGCAUGAGGUCAAACAAAUAAUCUCAAUUUUCUGGGUGUUGGGGAUUCAAACAACACCCAAAAUGGGAUGUUGUAUACUAAGUCAAAUAAAGAAUUUUAAUAGAGACAUAAUGUCUUUCCUAACCAGCAGGUAUGAGAGAAGGGAAAAUAAGAGAAUCUGCCUGGUAACCAUCAGGGGGAAUGAAUUAACAUGUUCUCUAAGACUAUGUUAGAAGGUCAGAGCCCAGCACAGUGGUACAUGCUGUAAUCCUAGCACUUUGGGAGGCUGAGGCAGGAGGAUCACUUGAGCCCAGGAGAUCAAGGCUGCAGUGAGACAUGAUCACGCCACUGUACUCCAGCCUGAGCAACAGAGCGAGACCCUUUCUGAAAAAUAAAUAAAAAAUAAAUAAAUAAAAGGUCAGAAUUUCAUGAAGUGGGAUGGUAAAGUUGUUGUGAAAUUCUCUCCC